rnacentral:tRNA from 1 species
GAGGGUACAGCUCAGUGGUAGAGAGUGUGCUUAGCAUACACAAGGUCCUGGGUUCAAUCCUCAGUACCUCCU